rnacentral:tRNA from 1 species
UGCUUUAAAGUCAAAACAGAGACACAAGUCUUGUAAACUUGAGAUUGAAAUUUAAUUUUCUAAAGCAA